rnacentral:rRNA from 1 species
CUUUGCUGGCGACCGGCGCACGGGUGAGUAACACGUAUCCAACCUGCCCUUUACUCGGGGGAUAGCCUUUCGAAAGAAAGAUUAAUACCCGAUAGCAUAAUGAUUCCGCAUGGUUUCAUUAUUAAAGGAUUCCGGUAAAGGAUGGGGAUGCGUUCCAUUAGGUUGUUGGUGAGGUAACGGCUCACCAAGCCUUCGAUGGAUAGGGGUUCUGAGAGGAAGGUCCCCCACAUUGGAACUGAGACACGGUCCAAACUCCUACGGGAGGCAGCAUG